AGAACGAACGCUGGCGGCAUGCCUAACACAUGCAAGUCGAACGCUCUUGGGGCUUCGGUCUCAGGGGAGUGGCGCACGGGUGAGUAGCGCGUGGGAACCUGCCCUGUUGUGGGGGAUAACCGAGGGAAACUUCGGCUAAUACCGCAUAAGCCGGUUGUCUUGAAGGAGAUGGCCGGGAAAGAUUUAUCGCGACAGGAGGGGCCCGCGUCGGAUUAGCUAGUUGGUGGGGUAACGGCCCACCAAGGCGGUGAUCCGUAGCUGGUCUGAGAGGAUGAUCAGCCACACUGGGACUGAGACACGGCCCAGACUCCUACGGGAGGCAGCAGUGGGGAAUAUUGGACAAUGGGCGCAAGCCUGAUCCAGCAAUGCCGCGUGAGUGAUGAAGGCCUUAGGGUUGUAAAGCUCUUUCGCCCGCGACGAUGAUGACGGUAGCGGGAGAAGGAAGCCCCGGCUAACUUCGUGCCAGCAGCCGCGGUAA
rnacentral:rRNA from 1 species